GUUGACGUAGCUUAUUAAUACACUAAAGCACGGCCCUGAAGCUGCCACGAUGGGGUGUCAACCCCCGACAACA
rnacentral:tRNA from 1 species